GAGGGUAUAGCUCAAGUGGUAGAGUGUAUGCUUUGCAUGCACGAGGUGCUGGGUUCAAUUCCCUGUAUCUCCU
rnacentral:tRNA from 1 species